rnacentral:rRNA from 1 species
GACGAACGCUGGCGGCGCGCCUAACACAUGCAAGUCGAACGAGCGAGCGAGAGCUUGCUUUCUCGAGCGAGUGGCGAACGGGUGAGUAACGCGUGAGGAACCUGCCUCAAAGAGGGGGACAACAGUUGGAAACGACUGCUAAUACCGCAUAAGCCCACGGGUCGGCAUCGACCAGAGGGAAAAGGAGCAAUCCGCUUUGAGAUGGCCUCGCGUCCGAUUAGCUAGUUGGUGAGGUAAUGGCCCACCAAGGCGACGAUCGGUAGCCGGACUGAGAGGUUGAACGGCCACAUUGGGACUGAGCCACGGCCCAGACUCCUACGGGAGGCAGCAGUGGGGAAUAUUGCACAAUGGGGGAAACCCUGAUGCAGCGACGCCGCGUGGAGGAAGAAGGUCUUCGGAUUGUAAACUCCUGUUGUUGGGGAAGAUAAUGACGGUACCCAACAAGGAAGUGACGGCUAACUACGUG